rnacentral:lncRNA from 1 species
GAAAGCCAUUCAUCUCCACACGUGAUAGCUCGUUUCUGAGAACACUUUUUUAAAAUAAUUGCCGUACUAGAAGUUUGUUAUUUUUCCAGGGAACUUGGCCACAUAUGAUGACACAAUGCGAAGGUUUCCCAAUUUUUUGAUUUUUUGAAUUUUUUAUGCACGUUUCAAAAUGCGGUCAAAACGGCGGGAAUGACCGUUCCUAGCUAGUGGUUGAAUCUUGGAAUUUUUUGGUGUUUUUCUGAUUAAAUAGAUACUUAUGUACCUAGAAAUGAUUUUUGGAAAAAAAUAAAGAGCAAACUAUGAGGCAGCUACAGUUGAAAUUUGACCGGCUUCUUGCUGAAUCGAUGGAAAUUUGUCUUUUCAUGAGAGGUGGAUCAAAGCUUCUCACACCCAACCAUUUGGUCAAUAGUGCAUUAAAUAUGUCCUAGUAUUUUAGAAAAUUGAUUUGGUACAAUUUUGCAACAAAUAUUUGGUAGGUCCUUCACAAAAAAGCUUAUUUCAGACACUUGAAAAAUGGAAAAUGGAUUUUUCGUCCAAAGAAAAUGAAAACUUCCUUAGGGAACAUUGUUUGCCAUUCCAAUAUGCACCCUUGUGAACAAUUUGAGAUCAUCUGAACAAACUAUGCCAUGAAUGUGGCCAUAAGAUUGAUCAUUUGGCUUCAAAGCCAUUCAUCUCCACACGUGAUAGCUCGUUUCUGAGAACACUUUUUUGAAAAUAAUUGCCGUAUUACAAGUUUGUUAUUUUUCCUGGGAACUUGGCCACAUAUGAUGACACAAAUGCUAAGGUUUCCCAAUUUUUUGAUUUUUUUUGAAUUUGUUAUGCCCGUUUCAAAAUGCAGUCAAAACGGCGGGAAUGACCGUUCCUAGCUAGUGGUGGAAUCUUGGAAUUUUUUGGUGUUUCUCUGAUUCAAUAGAUACUUAUGUACCUAGAAAUUAUUUUUGUAAAAAAUAAAUAGCAAACUAUGAGGCAGCUAUAGUUCAAAUUUGACCCGCUUCCCGCUGAAUCGGCGGAAAUUUGUCUUUUUCAAGAGAGGUGCAUCAAAACUUUUUACACCCAACCAUUUGGUCAAUUGUGCAUUAAAUAUGGCCUAGUAUUUUAGAAAAAUGAUUUGGUCCAAUUUUGCAACAAUUAUUUGUGAGGUCCUUCACAAAAAAACCUCCUUUCGGGCACUCGAAAAAUGGAAAAUGGUUUUUUCGUCCAAAGAAAAUGAAAACUUCCUUAGGCAACAUUGUUUGCCAUUCCAAUAUGCACCCUUGUGCACAAUAUGAGAUCAUUUGAACAAACUAUGCCAUGAAUGUGGCCAUAAGAUUGAUCAUUUGGCUUGAAAGCCAUUCAUCUCCACACGUGAUAGCUCGUUUCUGAGAACACUUUUUUAAAAUAAUUGCCGUACUAGAAGUUUGUUAUUUUUCCAGGGAACUUGGCCACAUAUGAUGACACAAUGCGAAGGUUUCCCAAUUUUUUGAUUUUUUGAAUUUUUUAUGCACGUUUCAAAAUGCGGUCAAAACGGCGGGAAUGACCGUUCCUAGCUAGUGGUUGAAUCUUGGAAUUUUUUGGUGUUUUUCUGAUUAAAUAGAUACUUAUGUACCUAGAAAUUAUUUUUGUAAAAACUAAAUAGCAAACUAUGAGGCAGCUAUAGUUCAAAUUUGACCCGCUUCCACAUGAAUCGGCGGAAAUUUUUCUUUUUCAAGAGAGGUGGAUCAAAGCUUCUCACACCCAACCAUUUGGUCAAUAGUGCAUUAAAUAUGUCCUAGUAUUUUAGAAAAUUGAUUUGGUACAAUUUUGCAACAAAUAUUUGGUAGGUCCUUCACAAAAAAGCUUAUUUCGGACACUUGAAAAAUGGAAAAUGGAUUUUUCGUCCAAAGAAAAUGAAAACUUCCUUAGGGAACAUUGUUUGCCAUUCCAAUAUGCACCCUUGUGAACAAUUUGAGAUCAUUUGAACAAACUAUGCCAUGAAUGUGGCCAUAAGAUUGAUCAUUUGGCUUCAAAGCCAUUCAUCUCCACACGUGAUAGCUCGUUUCUGAGAACACUUUUUUGAAAAUAAUUGCGGUAUUACAAGUUUGUUAUUUUUCCU